GACGAACGCUGGCGGCGUGCUUAACACAUGCAAGUCGAACGGAAAGGCCCUGCUUUUGUGGGGUGCUCGAGUGGCGAACGGGUGAGUAACACGUGAGUAACCUGCCCUUGACUUUGGGAUAACUUCAGGAAACUGGGGCUAAUACCGGAUAGGAGAUCCUGCUGCAUGGUGGGGGUUGGAAAGUUUCGGCGGUUGGGGAUGGUCUCGCGGCUUAUCAGCUGGUUGGUGGGGUAGUUGCUUACCAAGGCUUUGACGGAUAGCCCGCCUGAGAGGGUUGACGGGCACCAUGGGACUGAGAGACGGAGCAGACUCGUACGGGAGGCAGCGGUGGGGAAUAUUACGCAAUGGGCGGAAGCCUGAUGCAGCAACCCCGCGUGCGGGAUGACGGCCUUCGGGUUAUAAACCGCUUUCGCCUGAGACGAAGCGUGAGUGACGGUAAUGGGUAAAGAAGCACCGGCUAACUACGUG
rnacentral:rRNA from 1 species